UACGUAGGUGGCAAGCGUUGUCCGGAUUUACUGGGCGUAAAGAGCGCGCAGGCGGUCGUUCAAGUCGCGUGUGAAAGCCCCCGGCUCAACUGGGGAGGGUCACGCGAUACUGAUCGACUCGAAGGCAGGAGAGGGUAGUGGAAUUCCCGGUGUAGUGGUGAAAUGCGCAGAUAUCAGGAGGAACACCAGUGGCGAAGGCGGUGCUCUGGGCCGGAACUGACGCUGAGGAGCGAAAGCGUGGGGAGCAAACAGG
rnacentral:rRNA from 1 species